UUAAUCAUUUUUCGUUUCUUCUUUUGACUUUCCACCUCUUUCUCUCUGGCGAUAGGCGAUUACAAACUCGUUUACAAAACCAAAAAUAUCUCUCAAUCUCUCAUCAAAUCAUUAUCAUCACCUCUCUUCUCCAUCCUCGUUAUCUGCAAAUCCUCUCUCUCUCUCAAACGUGGUGUACAGACCGACCUUUUGACUGUCCAAACCCUAGUCGCGAGUUUCAAAUGGUUCAGAUGAAAGAUUUCGUGUUGGUAUGUGAUAGAUCUUGUCUGUUGUAGAUGUUUUUCCUUUCUCCGUUGAAAGGAGAGGUCGUCGUCGCCGUUGGAUGUCUCUGUCGCUGAUUUGUCACCCUCAACUGUGAAAACCCUUAUUAUUAAUGAAUUAAGCUUUGUAAAUUUACGAAUUAUACAAUUUAUUAAUGGGCUUAGGCCUUUUUUUUGGUCCUUUA